rnacentral:rRNA from 1 species
AGUGAACGCUGGCGGCGUGCCUAAUACAUGCAAGUCGAACGAAGUGGCGCACGGGUGAGUAAUAUAUAGUUAAUCUGCCCCACACAGAGGAAAAACAGUUGGAAACGGCAGCUAAUACCUCAUAGUGUAGGAUGAGACUAUAUCGUAUCAGCUAGUUGGUAAGGUAAUGGCGUACCAAGGCUAUGACGCGUAACUGGUCUGAGAGGAUGAGCAGUAACAGUGGAACUGAGGCACCGUCCGAGCACCUACGGGAGGGGGCAGUAAGGAAUAUUGCGCAAUGGGGGAAACCCUGACACAGCAACGGCGCGUGGAGGAUGACUCUUUUCGGAGCGUAAACUCCUUUUAUCAGGAAAGCGGUACCUGAUGAAUAAGCACCGGCUAACUCCGUGCCAGCAGCCGCGGUAAUAC